rnacentral:rRNA from 1 species
UACGGAGGAUGCAAGCGUUAUCCGGAAUGAUUGGGCGAAAGGGUCCGCAGGUGGCAGUGUAAGUCUGCUGUCAAAGAAUGAGGCUUAACCUCAUCAAGGCAGUGGAAACUACACAGCUAGAGUACGGUCGGGGUAGAAGGAAUUCCUGGUGUAGCGGUGAAAUGCGUAGAGAUCAGGAAGAACACCGGUGGCGAAAGCGUCUGCUGGUCCUGCUACGCACUGAGGGACGAAAGCCAGGGGAGCAAACGGG